rnacentral:rRNA from 1 species
GACGAACGCUGGCGGCGUGCUUAACACAUGCAAGUCGAACGGAAAGGCCCUGCUUUUGUGGGGUGCUCGAGUGGCGAACGGGUGAGUAACACGUGAGUAACCUGCCCUUGACUUUGGGAUAACUUCAGGAAACUGGGGCUAAUACCGGAUAGGAGCUCCUGCUGCAUGGUGGGGGUUGGAAAGUUUCGGCGGUUGGGGAUGGACUCGCGGCUUAUCAGCUUGUUGGUGGGGUAGUGGCUUACCAAGGCUUUGACGGGUAGCCGGCCUGAGAGGGUGACCGGCCACAUUGGGACUGAGAUGCGGCCCAGACUCCUACGGGAGGCAGCAGUGGGGAAUAUUGCACAAUGGGCGGAAGCCUGAUGCAGCAACGCCGCGUGCGGGAUGACGGCCUUCGGGUUGUAAACCGCUUUCGCCUGUGACGAAGCGUGAGUGACGGUAAUGGGUAAAGAAACACCGGCUAACUACGUG